GGGUGAGUAACGCGUGAGCAACCUGCCUAUGACAGUGGGAUAGCCUCGGGAAACCGGGAUUAAUACCGCAUAAAAUCGUAGAAACACAUGUUUUAACGGUCAAAGAUUUAUCGGUCAUAGAUGGGCUCGCGUCUGAUUAGCUAGUUGGUGAGAUAACAGCCCACCAAGGCGACGAUCAGUAGCCGGUCUGAGAGGAUGAACGGCCACAUUGGAACUGAGACACGGUCCAA
rnacentral:rRNA from 1 species